GGGAAAGUAGCCCAUUUUCGAUACUUGUGAGGUUUGUUGUGCUUGCAAUUUCACCUGGACCUAUUUUAGGUGUGCCAGCUGCCACUUUGGGUGGCACCGGCACACCCUGGCACACCCGUGGCUACGCCACUGCCUGGGGCAACCAUGUCGAAGGCAUCUAUUGAGGUUAAAUUUGCAGACAUGAGUGACGAUAUGCAACGAGACGCUCUACAGUGCCUGCUAAUGGCUCAGCAUAUGUAUGAAGAGAACAACGACAUUGCUCAAUGCAUCGCGAAGGAGUUUGACAGAAAGCAUGGGGGCACCUGGCAAUGCAUUGUGGGGAACUUUGGUUACCACCUUACGAGCAAUAGUUAUAUCUGCUUCUAUGAUGGCAAGAAAUAUAUUCUGCUCUUCAAGCCCUAGCUGAGGAACAGUAACAGUUCAAAUACAUCUUAUGAUAAAGUGCUGGAGGUUGUAAUAAACUCAAGAUCAGAGGUGUGAGUUUCUGCUGUGAAAUCUGCUGAUUUUUAUGAAGUAAAUGUAAGAAUAACUUUAAUAUUUUUAGUAAUAUUUCAAGAUGAACUGAACCGAGUCAUCAUCCAUAGUACACCAUUUUUUAAUUUUUUUAUUAGGAGUGCAAAACUUACAACAUAGGGUGAACACAAAACACAACAACAAAACAAAAAACAACAACAAAACAGCAGUGAUAGUAACAGCAAUGAAAAAUAAGCAGAAAUGACAAAUGGGUAAUAGUAGAAGUAUGUAAAUAGUAAUAGCAUGUAUAAUAAUAAUGAUAAUAAUAUUUUGUGAUGACGGCAACAGUAAUAACAGUAAUAAUAAUAACAAUAAUAAUACUAAAGAUGGUGAUGAUAAGUUGUGUUGACGGCAGUAGUAAUAUAAUAAUAAUAGAUAACAUUGAUAAUAAUGAUAAUAAUAACAGUAGAGGUACUGAUACUAAUGAUGGUGAUGAUAAUAUUUUGUGUUGAUGGAACAAGUAAAAUCAAUAACAAUAAUAAUAAUAAUAAUAAUAAUAAUAACAACAUUUGUAUCAAUAAUAAUAGCAACAGUAAUAACAGUAAU